GACGAACGCUGGCGGCGUGCUUAACACAUGCAAGUCGAACGGUGAAGGGACUGGUUUUGCUGGUCCUGGAUGAGUGGCGAACGGGUGAGUAACACGUGAGUAACCUGCCCCCUUCUUCUGGAUAACCGCAUGAAGGUGUGGCUAAUACGGGAUAUUCUGGGUCUGUCGCAUGGUGGGCCUGGGAAAGAUUGCGCCUUUUUUGGUGUUUUUGGUGGGGGAUGGGCUCGCGGCCUAUCAGCUUGUUGGUGGGGUGAUGGCCUACCAAGGCGGUGACGGGUAGCCGGCCUGAGAGGGUGGACGGUCACACUGGGACUGAGACACGGCCCAGACUCCUACGGGAGGCAGCAGUGGGGAAUAUUGCACAAUGGGCGCAAGCCUGAUGCAGCGACGCCGCGUGAGGGAUGGAGGCCUUCGGGUUGUGAACCUCUUUCGCCAGUGAAGCAGGCCUGCCUCUUUUUGUGGGUGGGUUGACGGUAGCUGGAUAAGAAGCGCCGGCUAACUACGUG
rnacentral:rRNA from 1 species